AGACUAGGGGGCAGCAAUGUCACCGUCGCACGGGUGCGUAACGCGAAUGCAACCUACCUAUCACAGGGGGAUAGCCUUUGGAAACAGGGAUUAAUACCGCAUAAAGCAGGGGCUCCGCAUGGAGAUAUUGCUAAAGAUUUAUCGGUGAUAGAUGGGCAUGCGUCUGAUUAGUUAGAUGGUGGGGUAACGGCCUACCAUGACGAUGAUCAGUAGGGGGCGUCAGAGCGUGGUCCCCCACACUGGCACUGAGAUACGGGCCAGACUCCUACGGGAGGCAGCAGUAGGGAAUAUUGGGCAAUGGAUGCAAGUCUGACCCAGCCAUGCCGCGUGAAGGAAGAAGGUCCUCUGGAUUGUAAACUUCUUUUAUCGGGGAAGAAGAAUCACCUUGCGAGGUGAAGUGACGGUACCCGAUGAAUAAGCCACGGCUAACUACGUGCCAGCAGCCGCGGUAAUACGUAGGUGGCAAGCGUUGUCCGGAUUUAUUGGGUUUAAAGGGUGCGUAGGUGGUUUAAUAAGUCAGUGGUGAAAGCUGGUUGCUCAACAAUCAAGUUGCCAUUGAUACUGUUAGACUUGAGAGAAGUGGAGGCUGGUGGAAUGGAUGGUGUAGCGGUGAAAUGCAUAGAUAUCAUCCAGAACGUCAAUUGCGAAGGCAGCUGGCUGUACUUU
rnacentral:rRNA from 1 species